rnacentral:rRNA from 1 species
GAUCCCAUCCCGAACUCGGAAGUGAAACGCAGCUGCGCCGAUGGUAGUGUGGCUCAAGCCAUGCGAGAGUAGGUCAUCGCCAGGG